UCUCCGUAGGUGAACCUGCGGAGGGAUCAUUACAAGUGACCCCGGUCUAACCACCGGGAUGUUCAUAACCCUUUGUUGUCCGACUCUGUUGCCUCCGGGGCGACCCUGCCUUCGGGCGGGGCUCCGGGUGGACACUUCAAACUCUUGCGUAACUUUGCAGUCUGAGUAAACUUAAUUAAUAAAUUAAAACUUUUAACAACGGAUCUCUUGGUUCUG
rnacentral:misc_RNA from 1 species